rnacentral:lncRNA from 1 species
CCACCUCAGGCAGGCUGAGCAAAUUUGAGCUGAGAUGAUCAUUAGUGUCUGGCUUUCCCAGAGCAGAAUGUGAUCUCUGAUUUAGCCCAGGUGAAGCAGGAAGCAGAAAAUAGGGCCGUGGGAAGAACACCUCCGGUUCUGCACCAGGGAAAGCUGCUCUGGGGUGUCUGCCAACACCCAGGUCUUCCCUCUGACCCUCAUUGGCCGGUCGAGGGGUCUCUCCGCUCCGCUGUGAUCCUCAGAGGCUGAGACUGUCCUGUGCAGCUAUUGGUUGCUUUGUGCUGAGCGGAGGACUCUGUGGUUGUUGGAAAGCAGUAUUAAAAGCCAAGGAGUGUCUCCGGUUGCAAGACUCCCCAGGCAUUAGCCCUCACUCCACUUCACGUCAGCCCAGGGAGUCCCUCCGUCUUCCUGGCCGAUGCACCUCGGACCGGCGACACACAGAGAUGAGCAUGUCCAGACUGCCCAGAGUGAGCAGAUUAAAGCAGUUUUGGAGGGCAGUAAUUUGCUGGAUGGAGACUCUGUGCUCUGACCUUUGAUGGUAUUUUCUGCGCACAUCUGAGCCAAGUUACUGAUUGGAAAGCUUGGGAGAAGAAGCUAAGAGCACCCACGUGACCACGGAAGAAGCAGACAGCUCAUCCACAGACUGCCCGCUGGAUCCUCGGUCUCAGGGUCCGGGGCUGAAGAACAAAAGGCACGUGAGCUCAGAGGGAACGGGGCGAGGCCUGGUGGAAAGGAGUUCAUUGUGAUUCAUUGCACGUUCUCUGCGGCA